rnacentral:rRNA from 1 species
ACGCUGGCGGCGUGCCUAACACAUGCAAGUCGAACGGAGCAAAGCCCUUCGGGACUUUACUUAGUGGCGAACGGGUGAGUAACGCGUGAGGAACCUGCCUUCCAGUGGGGGACAACAGUUGGAAACGACUGCUAAUACCGCAUGAUGCUUUUGAGGGACAUCCCUUAAAAGUCAAAGCUUUAUGUGCUGGAAGAUGGCCUCGCGUCUGAUUAGCUAGUUGGUGGGGUAACGGCCCACCAAGGCAACGAUCGGUAGCCGGACUGAGAGGUUGAACGGCCACAUUGGGACUGAGACACGGCCCAAACUCCAACGGGAGGCAGCAGUGGGGAAUAUUGCACAAUGGGGGAAACCCUGAUGCAGCGACGCCGCGUGAGUGAAGAAGUAUUUCGGUAUGUAAAGCUCUAUCAGCAGGGAAGAAAGUGACGGUACCUGAAUAAGAAGCCCCGGCUAACUACGUG